rnacentral:lncRNA from 1 species
UAACAGGGUGAUCCAGUAAAAUAGCCUCAAUAGGCUACAAAAUACUCAUUUCCACUAUGGUCCCUGAUGUAAAAAGAGGUUGGGAAGCACUAGAAGAGGAUUGCCAUGCAGAGCUUCUAUCAUAGUGUCUGUAGUAGGUAGGAUAAUGGCCCUCCAAAGAUGUCCAUGUUAAUCCCAGAAUCUGUGCAUAUGUUCAGGUACAGGGCAAGGGGGAAUUAAAUUUGCAAAUGGAAUUAAGAUUGCUAAUCAGCUGACUUGAACGUAACAAUAUUGUCCUGGGCUAUCCAGGUGAGCCCGAUAGACUCACAAGGAUCUUUAAAUGGGAAAGAGAAUGCAGAAGAGUCAGAUCUGAGAAAUGGUAUCUGGAGAAAGACUUGAGUUACUUUUGCUGGCUUUGAAGAUGUCAGGAGGAGCCAUUAACCAAGGAAUAAGGGCAGCCUCUAGGAGCCAGAAUGGGGCAAGAAAAUAGGUUCUGUCUUAGAGCUUCCAGAAAGGAAUACAGGUCUGCCAGACCUUGAUUUUAGCCCAGUGAGACCCAUUUGAGACUUCUGACCUUUAGAACUAUAACAAAUUUGUAUUGAUUGCGGUAAUUUGUUACAGCUGCAAUAGGAAACAAACACAGUGUCUUAUAGAGGACAGAGGUUCAGUGCUUAAUGGCAACAUCAGGCAGCACAGGUGGAGGACGGUGACAGACGUGGACUAAAGGCCAGACCUGCCCCAUUGUGCUGUCGCUUAUUAGCCCAGGAUUCCUGUACAUUUCUCAGAGGGUGGCAGAGUACAUCGAUAAGGAUGAUAUUGACCAUCUCAUCAGCAGUUGCCAGUGACAUCCAUGGAGCAUCCCAGCGCCAAGCUCUAGAAAGUUGGAGUGAGGUGGCGCUAGGCGUCCUGUUCCACAGCGAAGCAGAGAGAAUUCACAGCGGUCUGUGCCAGUGCUCCCAUCUCGUGAGUCUGUGAAGGGAUAGUGUCCAUGAGCUCCAAGCAGAUGUUAGGAAGCUUUUUAGAGUCCUCUGACCCCGGAAGCUGCUAAUUAAAGUGCCACCAAAAUGC